UGGCCAGGGGACCGGGAUGCGCUGGGUGAGGUCGAUCCGGCGGGUUCCAGGGGUACAGGGAGUACCUCCUUCGGGGUCGGGCCAGGCGAAAA
rfam:Pseudomonas aeruginosa PAO1, complete genome.